UCGAGAAUCUUCGGCAAUGGGCGAAAGCCUGACCGAGCGACGCCGCGUGCGGGAUGAAGGCCUUCGGGUUGUAAACCGCUGUCAGAGGGGAUGAAAUGUUCGGGGGUCAUCCCCCGGAUUUGACAGAUCCUCAGAGGAAGGACGGGCUAAGUUCGUGCCAGCAGCCGCGGUAAGACGAACCGUCCAAACGUUAUUCGGAAUCACUGGGCUUAAAGGGUGCGUAGGCGGUGUAGUAAGUUGGGUGUGAAAUCCCUCGGCUCAACCGAGGAACUGCGCCCAAAACUGCUGUGCUAGAGGGAGACAGAGGUGAGCGGAACUUCAGGUGGAGCGGUGAAAUGCGUUGAUAUCUGAAGGAACACCCGUGGCGAAAGCGGCUCACUGGGUCUCUUCUGACGCUGAGGCACGAAAGCUAGGGGAGCGAACGGGAUUAGAUACCCCCGUAGUCC
rnacentral:rRNA from 1 species